UCAGUGUCCGAGUUGUAAUCUCGAGAAGUAUUUUCCGCGCCGGACUGCAUACAAGUCUGUUGGAAUACAGCGUCAUAGUGGUGAGAACCCCAUAACUGAUGCAGAUGCCCGGUGCUUUGUGAUAUACUUUCGAAGAGUCGAGUUGUUUGGGAAUGCAGCUCAAAUUGGGUGGUAAAUUCCAUCUAAAGCUAAAUAUUGGCGAGAGACCGAUAGCGAACAAGUACCGUGAGGGAAAGAUGAAAAGCACUUUGGAAAGAGAGUUAACAGUACGUGAAAUUGUUGGAAGGGAAACGCUUGAAGUCAGACUUGCUAUUUGGAAUUCAGCCGCAAGGUGUACUUUUCAAUUCGCAGGCCAGCAUCAGUUUUUGGGGGUGGAAAAGGGUAGAGAGAAGGUAGCAGUUUCGGCUGUGUUAUAGCUCUUUGCUGGAUUCAUCCUUGGGGACUGAGGAACGCAGCACGCUUUUUGCAAGGCUUUCGAGCUUUUCGUGCUUAGGAUGCUGGUGGAAUGGCUUUAAACGACCCGUCUUGAAACACGGACC
rnacentral:rRNA from 1 species